AGACGAUAUGAGAGAGGAAAUGCUGCUCUUGUGGAAGGCAGCAGUGCUCUGCUGACUGCAAACAGCAAGUUUGCUUGGAUCUGGGUCUGUGCCUUAAGUGCUAAUGGAACAUGUAAGAACUGUCAGAGCAGAUCAAAGAGCCCUGGAGGGUGUAGCCUGUGUGUCACAGUGCUGCAGCAACAGUCGGAAACCCGGGGGAAAACCGCUGCCUGGGCAAAAGGAGUCACGAGAACAGCCAGCUGCCUCUGCUGCCUGGGGCAGAGCCAUGGCAUGCUAUAAAAGCACGGGCUGCUGAGAAUCAUGUAUUUGCUUCUCCUGCCUUGUUGUCCUUGUUGAAGUGGGCUCGCGCCCUCCACCGCACCAAGAUGACCUACUACUACCAGAACCAGUGCGACGACGUGUGCUACUCGCCCUGCAACUACGGGACGGCGUACACCUACCGCAGGAGCUACGGCUGCGGGGGCCCCUUCCGG